GAGACUCUGUGCGCGUGCAUAUCAAUAAGCGGAGGAAAAGAAACUAACAAGGAUUCCCUUAGUAACGGCGAGUGAAGCGGGAAGAGCUCAAAUUUGAAAUCUUCAAGGUUCUACCUUGACGAAUUGUAGUUUAAAGAAGUGUUUUCUGUUAGAUGAGUAGCAAAAGUUCCUUGGAAUGGGACAUCAUAGAGGGUGAGAAUCCCGUAUUUGGUUAUUCAUUCUAGCUUUGUGAUACACUUUCAAAGAGUCGGAUUGUUUGGGAAUGCAGUCCAAAAUGGGUGGUAAAUUUCAUCUAAAGCUAAAUAUUGGCGAGAGACCGAUAGCGAACAAGUACCGUGAGGGAAAGAUGAAAAGAACUAACUUUGAAAAGAGAGUUAAACAGUACGUGAAAUUGUCAAAAGGGAAGCGUUUGACACCAGUGUUGUUUUUUCCAAAAAUCAAUUACGAAUGGCUUGAUUUUGUGUUGUAUUGACCUUAUCAGCUUUCUGCACUUUUUUCGAGUCUUUCUUAAUGCACUUUUUCGGUUAACAAGUCAACAUCAAUUUCUUUUGUUGUAAAAGAGUAUUCGGAAGGUGGCUUUCUUUUCGGAGAAAGUGUUUAUAGCCCUAUACUUCUACAAUCGGAGAGAUUGAGGUCUGCAGCGUAGAUCCUUCGGGGUUAGAUACACUUUGCUGCUAAGUUGUAGCUUUUCAUAGACAACUUGUUGACUAUGUUUAGUCAUGCGGCUUACUCGCUUGUGCUAUUUUACCUACGCUUAGGAUGUUGACUGAUAUGUAGUCGUA
rnacentral:rRNA from 1 species